GCCUUCUCGACUGUUUCCACCGAUCGUCAGAAGAGGACCUUUACCAGAUCCAACACAAAACACUGGAGAUAAUACAAUCUACUCAACAGUUCAGGAUGCAGGCUACAGCGUCAUCCACUACUAACACAUGUCACAGCUCUGAGACCGACAUGGACGUUAGACCCGUUUGUUUAACUUCCUCCUUUGUGAUUUGCUUUACAGAUGUGUUCUCUUUUACAUAAUAAGCAACAAUGCGUCAUAAAUAUACAUAUUUAGAUGGAGCUGUGUGCUUUUACAUCACUGUGUUAUAAACAGUACAGUGCAAAUAUGGUUCAGAUCAGGUGAAAAAUGAGGAUAGUCGUUGUGAUAACUUAAAAAUCCGAUGUUACCUUCAGGAGUAGUCUAUUUAUUAUCCGUUCUUUCUGUAUUCUGCAUCACUUCCACAGGUUUGUAUUUAUUUGUGUCUGCUCUUGUCAAACACAGAUCAAAUAAAUAGGAGUGUAUGUGUCUGCUGUCUGAUAUCAUUUCCUCCUUGGACUCAUGACUGCGAUACAGGAACACUCCUUUACAGUGUUUGUGUUACUUAACCCUUUAAUUUACUGUUUUUUCUCGUCAAAAUGUUGAUUUUACAUUCCUUUAAUUCAGGGUUCGUACACAUUUUUCAAGGUCUAAUUCAAGUAUGUUUCAAGCACUUUUAAGAGUUGAAUUAUGCCUUAUUUCUUCAGUA